rnacentral:lncRNA from 1 species
ACCAGAUCUUCAGGGAGUGCUAGGAGAAGAGAAGGAGCUGAACAGGGUGAUCGUGCCCCUGCUUGGGCACGGCAAUUACUUGGUUUUUCAGAUGAAGAGUGCUGUCGGAGGCCCAACAAACUAUUUGGCACGACCAAUAAAAAAAUUUAAAAAAGACAAAAAGGUACCAGAGUGGGUGUGGAAUAUUUGCUGGGUACGGAACAGCACUAACUAACGCCCUCACACGCACUCUCCAUCUAGAUGCCCCAUGCACAAAAUUCUCCUACUUAGAAGGGGAGUAUUGGUCGUUCACCUCACUCUUCCUUUAAAGUUUGCUGGGUUUGGGUUUGUUUUCAACGAGUGCACCAGUCCUUUUCGAGAUGCAGCUGCCACAGAAAAGGAAGAAAGAAACCAUGAGGUGAGUGGCGGGAGGAGAGAGGGGAGCACCAGGAGAGAGAACGCACCAAGUCUGACCACUUGUGAAUCUAGGCCUCUGCCUGGUGGGGGGAAUCUCCGGCCAAUAAUAAAAGUGUGGUGGAGUCUAGGUCCUUUAUUUAGCUUGGCUCCUUCCAAGGACAGCCAAGCAGGAUGCAGGGGGGUGACUGCUACAGCACCCACCCGUGCCACCCCCCGCCGGGGCGCAACCGCGUGGCCUUGGGGAGCAAUGCAUGCCAAGGUGUGUCAGGGCGCCAGCUGACCAGCCCAGUGCUUGCAACAACUAACGGCUCCUCGUUUUCAUGCUGAAAAUAUGCGCCCUUGGAAC